GGGUUAGAUGGAGAAGGGGGGUUCAUUUCUUUCUGAUAGUGACGGCCUUGGUUCACAGGCUGAAAGAAACAAAACAUCUGUGAGGCGGAAACCCAUCAGCUUGGCGACCUUGGCACACACCCUCGCAUCAGUCCUCAUUUCUGAUGUUUUGAUAUCAACGGUUCUCAUUUUUUGAGAUCUUAUUUCUGAUAUUCCAUCUGCAGGAGAGAGCUGCGUCCCCUUCCCAGCGUAGGCAGAGGCUCUGGGAGACCCAGCAAUCCCAGGGUGGCAUAACCCACAGAACGCAGGCCACUUUAAAGGGUUCCGUAGCAUCUGUGAUGUAAACAGAGGCCUCCCUCACAUGAGAGCUCUCCGUGUGGAAUCUUUAGGCUGUUGCUGCUUCUGGAGACAGCAGAGGAAAACAAGGUCUCCUGCUGAAAGCACUGGCAAUGGCUAGAGGUGCAGCAAAACAUAUUUAUGUCUCAGGGCCAGUAAGUUGGCGAGGACCACUCUGUUGCCGUUAGCUUGGACUGUUCAUGUGAAUCUCAGGUCCCACCCCCAAAUGUAUACGAAAACUGUGAGCAUGGAUCAGAAUGAGCUGACAAAGUGGUGCUAGUAAAAAUGGGGACUCUCUAACCCCCCCCACAAUAAACCUUUCCUCAUUUCUUGAAACACAACUAAGAAACACACAAAAAACAAGACAGAAAAACAAAUGAAUGCCAAUAAUAAAACUUGAUUUUCUUCCUCUUUGAGGAGAAAGUUCGGACAGCUAAUACCAACUCCAUUUUGAGGAUAAUUCUAAAUGUUUUCCUAACGUGGCUAACAAUGACAAAAUUCUAACAUGGAAACCACAUUAUUUUGGCCUUCUUGUUUUACCACACGGUGGAACUUGGCAUGCAUUUGUGAAGUGCAUUCAGAACUCCUGCUCCCACAGGGGUUGCUAAGGCCCCUUCACCCUAGUGAGGAGAUGUGGUCCCAUGGUGCAGAGGUGCAGAGACCAAGCUAAGAUGUGUCAGUCACCCAUGUGAGAAUCAUGUCACUUAGCCUGGCUACCUGCGAUGCACCAUGCAUUUCGGUGCUCUCAGAUAAUUUGGUGAGUGAACGGCAGGCAACACCGUCACGGUAAUCAGAAAUAACAGCUGGGAGAACAGUGGAAGGGAAAUAUGUCAUAAGGCAUAACUCAUCUCACCAGAGAAAUCAAAAUUUCAGCAAUUUGCAAGUGAAAUUUAGUUGGCAAUUUAGGCUUUAUUAUUUAGAGCGAGAGCUGCUUCUCUGGAUCAGCUUGCACUGGGAUAGGAAAUGUCCCAAUGAUGCCGUCGUUGGCAUCCACUGUGCGUCUGCAGCACUGAGGCCUCUGGUGAAUGGACUUCUGCUUAUUUAUCUCCACAUGCACUUCCAGAACUUUCUGGGUAGGUAUCACAGCUCCAUAACCGAGCAAAUGUCCACCCCUGAAUUUUAUAGCCAUUGGUUCUAUGUAAACUCAUUCCAAGCCCUUAUUCCAGAUGCUGUCUUUCCUUCCUUGGAAAGCUCUUUGCCCUGGGCACACUAGUUCUUCUCAGUGAUCCAAGGGGGAAGAAAGGCACAUCCAAUAAUGACUCACAAUAGUGUUUGGAAACAUUCAAUAACAGCUUUUCAGAGAAGGAAAAACUUCAUAUGCAGAGGUAUGUCUGCCUGAAGUCAAAUGUCAUCAAGUUGACUUUAUGGGGCUGAAGACCUGCUACCCCACCUGUGGUAUCUUGCAUUGAGAAACAGAAGCAGUGACAAGGUUGCACAUCCCUGCCCUUGCUCUUUACCUCAUACAACUGAGGAAGGAGUUUGUGGUGUACUCCUAAACCUUAUGUGAUCCUCCCUGCACCCAGAAGAAAGGAUCCCCCUUAUCUCAAGAAGGUGCAGGAACACAGGGGAGAGGCUGAUCAAAAGGCCUUGCUAAGCUCUCCUGGUAUCCUUCCAGUAGAUCAUAUCACCUUUAUUAAAUCAUAGUUCUCCAUGAAUUUCCACUCUGUCUAAUCUAGCAUGACAAUAAGCAAGAGACCAUUUCUCUUGGAAAAUUCAAGUGUAAUCAUUUCUCUGGGUCUUCCUUUUUUUUCUUUUUGAGGGUUCUUGUGUCAUGAAACACGUAUGAAAUUUAUUUGUAGGCUUUAAAAAAGAAAUGAAUCUGUCUUCUAUUAUAAAUUCUCAGCCAUGGACCUAAGGUGGGUAGUGAAGGAGACAUUUUCCCUUUCCUGGGUUUCUCCUAUAGACAUAUCAAUAAGUUUGUUUUUUGGGUAGGUAACAUCCUGUGACGGUAUCUGUGAUGGUCAAAUAAAAUCAAGGUUUGAUUUUGGAAUUUAGCCUUACGUGCAGAAUACUCUAAGUAUUCUUAGAGUAUAAUGCAAAAGGCCAUUGCUCAUGCCCAGAAGUAACAACACCAACUCCAAUAGCAGCAGCAACUUACUGGUGUCUACGAACACCUACGAGGGCCACAGCAGUGACGCAUAUUUACCUCAGUUACCUCGUGCUAAUUCUCGAGAGGGAUGAUCUCAUUUGAGCCCCACUGCAAGCCUGUGAACUACAUAUGAUUAACUCAUUUAUUAGAAGAGGACAUUCUGCUACUAGUAUUAACCCAAGACCGUGCUUGCCAGGACACGGUGCAGCUAGGAUCUGUACCCAUUCGUGAGACUCCAUCUCGGCACUAGUUUGUUUGUAUUGUUUAAUGCAGCUUGGGAAUUCACGCAGAAUGUGGAAUGCAAUGUUUCUGAAUAACAACCUGGCAGGAUCCAUUCAGUAUACGGAAAGGAAAAAGGAAGCAGUCCCAAGAUACAUUUGUCUGAAGCAUACGAGACUGUCCGAUUUUUAUAAAUUAAGUUCACUUGAUUUGACACUCACAGCAUGUCGCUAUAUAUUUAAAGUUAACAUCAGUAAGAUUUUAAGCACACUGAUGAACGUGGGCCUGUUAUAUAUAGUUGAGUUAUAUCAGGCAACACACACUCGGAGAAUAAGGACCAUUCAUAUUGUGAGGUGACUUUUGUAGUCGCUAGCCAUAGAACAACUUGCACAUAACCAUAUUUUCUCCUGACAGCACAGAAAUGACCGUGACUCUAAUAUCAGUUUCCUCGUAUCAUUUCUCAGUUUCAUCUGAUUUUAUCUACAGUGCAGCACAAUCAAAACCCUACCUUCCUAGUUUACCCAGAUAACAAACAAGCCUGGCAUAUCCUGCAAGAGCUGAGGAACUAAUGAGUCUGUGGAUGAGAAGAAAUUAAGACCCAUUAGGGCCCCAGUCCGUGUGCACGGCCCCAGGAUGCCUGCUUAGCUCCAGGAGCCAUGAGAAGAGGAACUUGAAGAACUCCUGCCAGGUAGCAGGCUCCUAACAUGGAAAGGCCCUUUGGGGCUGGCUCAGCAGCUAAUGGUGCUUUCCACAGAGCCUGACAACUGGGCCCAGUCAAUCCCUGGGACUGCCAUGGUGGAAGAGAACUAAUUCAGCCAGGCUGUGCUCCAACAUCCAUGCCCGUGCCAUGGUGCGUACCCCUCACAGAUAGAUGAACGUAAAGGACUUCUUUAAUAAAAAGUUAGCCACCCUGUAAGGCAGAGGAGGCGGUGGAAACAACCAAACCCAGACAAAAUCCAAACAAACAAGUGGGUGUGUCCCAAAGGGAGAGGUCAAUGGAAGAGCAGGCAGGCUGGCAGAGAACAGGGACAGGGGACACUGUGGCUGGAGCGCAGUGUCAUUCGCCUGUGCACAUGCUGGAUGGGGUGGGGCAGGCAGCCAGGGUGAGUCUCAAGUUCUAUGUGAGCUGAGGGAGAGGGCCUGAAGAGAAGGGUAUCUGGCAUAAGGAGAGACGCUGCUCUCACCUCCACAGUCUGCCUCUUUCUCGAAUCUGAAAUGCCUUCCUCUGUUUUGUCUACAUGUAAACUUGCACUCCUUCAUGAGCUCUGACCUAAGUGAGGACGUCUGACAGCGUGCCUGGGACCUAGAGGCCAUGUUGAUAUGGAUUGCUCCUUCCUAUACCUUCCCACAGUUCUUUGUCUCACUGACACUCAUCAUCCUGAAUCGCAGAGCUUCUGUCGCUCUGUGAGCAUCCUAAGGUGGGGACAAGUUUUAUCCCUAACAUCCCUCCUAGUCCCCACCACAUUGUACUGAAUAGGUGCGGAAUGAGCGCAUGCGACACAGAUGACGAAGUCUGGGACGGGAGGUGGACAUUUACUCCUGCUCUGGGCACAGAGGAAGAUAUGGCCUUCACAGUGAGGCCUAGAGUAGUGCCACCGAAAAUCCUGGAGCUGUCUGGGUGUCAAUCCGGAGCAAGGUACACGGAUACCCUCACCGUGCAGCAGAUGUUUUACAAGGCGGUAGGCCACCGGGUGAGUGCUCCUAACCCUUAGAUCAGAGGCAAGGAGAUGAGGUAUGAGAAAAGCCAGACAAACAGCACCGCGCCAAGUCCCUCUUCUGACCUCCGAGGAUACCAGGAGUGCACAUGCAGGAUGCGGAGUUCAUUACGGAAUGCAAUUUCCCAUUUGUUGCUAGUUCCAGUGGUGGAGCAAACCGAACUUGAUGAAAUAAUAAACACGUCCCAUGAAUCUGAAGAAUAGGACAGCGAUGAGAACCCCGUAUCCAGGGCAACCAAGAGUUCAGACUUCUCAGUCCAUAAAUAAUCAUUCCCCGGCUUGCCCUCUGUACUCCUGGUCUCUGAGCCACUUUCUGACAAAAUGGGCUCCAUCCGGACGGAGGCUGCCACUCUUUCUCUAACUGGGGCUUAAAUGACUGCUGGGGAAUAUUCUAUAAAAAAGGCACCGUUUCACUUCUGUCUGCAACUGACUCUUGUAAUUUUUCUCUGGUGAGAGGAUGCUCUGUGGCCAGAGUCAUGGGGGCAUAGAUACCAUCUAGCACCAAGCUGCCUAGAAAGUUCUGGGUAUCCAUGGCUGCGUCUAAUGAGACCAGAUUGAGCAAGAGGAAGCUGGAGGCAGGGGAGACAGAGACAAAGGUCCCAAAGUGAGCACUGGUGGUAACUGUCCGCCUUUGAACCUCCUUAGAGACUUCUGGAUUCACUGUCCAUGAUGACUUGCAUGUUCUCUCAAGAGCACAGGAACCUUAUCUUCCAUUGGAUGCCUGUAGCACCCAUUUGACAAGCAACUCACAUAUUAAGAGUCAGGAAGACAGCCGGGCCACUUCUCAGGAACCGCAGUGUUCUCACAGGAAGUGGAAACGCUAGUGGCAGCUGGAAGGACUCAUGUAACUAACACAUUGGACUACACGCCAAGAGGCUGCCCAGACACACGAUGUCUACAAAACUGUUGGGGGGCCUGGAACAACUGGCAGAUAGCAAACAAUUACUUAUUAAAUAUGCAAAACUUAUCUUCUCUCUACUACAUUUGAACUUAACAUUAUGUAGGUUUAAAACGUAUCUUAAACAUUUUAAGGAUUUAUUGAUAUUUACUUAA
rnacentral:sRNA from 1 species